AGAGUUUGAUCAUGGCUCAGGAUGAACGCUAGCUACAGGCUUAACACAUGCAAGUCGAGGGGCAGCGGGAUUGAAGCUUGCUUCAAUUGCCGGCGACCGGCGCACGGGUGAGUAACGCGUAUCCAACCUUCCGUACACGUCAGGGAUAGCCUUUCGAAAGAAAGAUUAAUACCUGAUGGUAUGAUGAAAUUGCAUGAUAGCAUCAUUAAAGAUUUAUCGGUGUACGAUGGGGAUGCGUUCCAUUAGGUAGUAGGCGGGGUAACGGCCACCUAGCCUACGAUGGAUAGGGGUUCUGAGAGGAAGGUCCCCCANAUUGGAACUGAGACACGGUCCAAACUCCGUACGGGAGGCA
rnacentral:rRNA from 1 species